GGAGAUGAUGCCAGAACUAUGGGUUCUGAGAAGCAGAGAUGAAGAGGCAAUAUGUUCUGGAAUAUUGAACAGAGACGGAAGCCAAGUCCUUUGGUUACCCCUAGUGCUUCAUUCCUCUGGGCUCCAUCCAUACUUCCUGCCAGGAGAAGAGAACUAUGCAGUGGUGGACCUUGGCUCUCCUAGCCCUGCUGCCUUUGCUCCGAGGGGAUCCAACCACCACCCAAGUUUCUCCAGCAGAGAAUGAUAUCCCCAGACAAGAGGAAAUUAGUAAAGAAUCCAGUUCAAAUUUAGAGUUGGAUUCUAACCCUGGAUUUGGUGAGGAAUCAAGUGAAGAAAUCAUUGAAGGAGACUCCACUGGGAAAGCCAGUAGGGAAGAACACAGGAAAACCAGCCCCAAAACUAGAUGGAGAGCUACAAUGGAAAUCCAGAGAGGAUGCAAUCUGGGAGCACAGAAUUGA
rnacentral:lncRNA from 1 species